CAUUUGAGAAAUCUUUCCUCUGCCUUUGGGGAGAAAUUAUUUGCCGCCUUCUGCAGGGUCUGAAAUUUGCCUUCUCAAUGCCUUUGUUAUUAAAAGAACAAGAAAACACCCAACUUAUUUACAUCUUGGAUCCUGUUAUUCUGCUAAACUGCACUAUUGCUGCAGUUUCAGGGGUGCCAAGACUUGAUGAGAACAGAAGAAGGAACAGAUGGUGGCACCAUCCUGUCUCGGCACCAGAUACUGCCCUGGAGUUGUACAUGGUGCAAAAAGCAUCCCCGUGUGGAGAAGCAGAUAGCGCUUCUGCAAAGUAUCAGCAUGGUGGAUUUUAUGGUGGAUUUCUACAGCUGAGGGACAACUGUCUG